GUGGCAGUGGUGUCGAGCGCUAAGGACGCGGGGGAGGCUAUUCAAAACAAUGGUCGGCGUCGCGUCGUAGGAUCGUUUGCCUUGUUUUUUGAAAAGUUAAGCCCCUUUGGAGCAGAUUGGAAGGUUUCAGAAGAUGGAGGAAGAUGGCAAGAUCAAAGAGAUGGGUUCAGUUCCCACGGUGUGCUGACUUGAAUUGGCAUCCUGUGAUUUGUGAUGUGAAUUAUGAUGCACGCACUCGCAGGUGCACGCCCACUGCGGACACGUGUGACGUGACGGCAGCAGGCAGCCGGGGUGUGAACUGUGAACUGGCUCGGCCGAAAAUGUUUAAGGUAUCACAGCGUUUGUAACUGACUAACAUACCCACUACGGGCAUACCCAUUGAGCGGAUAAUGCGUUCGUGUGCAUCGUGUUUGCAUUUAUUCCCGAUAUACUCUGGUGGUAGGUGUGAAUUGGAAACCAGCUUGGUGCUACGACACCGUUUAGUAGGCAUGUGGCACGUCGUUUCUCGAAACCUACCUAUCAGUCUAUGCAAUAAUAUGCAUUGUAUACAUUGUGUGUCAUCGUUCACCUUAGUUGUCAUUGAACCUGUGUUAAAUUCUGAACUUCAGGCCGAGACAGACUAUUUCCACAGUCAGGAAAUCGCACACGAGAACCUGUUCAAAUCCAUUAAGUUGCAAUAGCAUCAAUCGCACGCAAGGAGGUGCGUGUUAUGGAUGCGAGUGCGACCGGGGUUUAUUUGAAUAGGCUCUCGGUCUCGCACAUGAUUUCUGACUGCGGAAAGAAUCGGUUUCAGCCUGUACUCAGUGGGCAAUUCGCUCAUGCGACGGCAAAUAUAAGUUCAAUAUGGAAACA
rnacentral:lncRNA from 1 species